AUUAACCCUGAUUAAAUACAUAGAACAAGUUUCAGUUUAACGAUACAUUUAAAGUUGAGGUUCUCGUUAUCAAUUCAAAUGAUACGAUACGAUAUCGGCUGUACAAAGUAAUCAUGUCAAUUAGUUUACCUAAUCGUUACAAUUCAUAAUGCUCUAGAAUGGCUACAACUACAAUACUUUUACUGACGUUCUUUUCAAGUUUUUCCUUAGUCUUUUCAUGUGUUCUGCUAGUGUCACUGAUUGUUGUGUAUCACUUCUACACUCCAAUAGGCCAAAAAGUGGCGAGGAGGAGGAAAAUACGCAGUAACUAUAUAUCUGCUAUCUUUGACGAUACAUAUCAUUAUACUCAAUUAACGCCGCCCUAUGACAAGCAACAGUAGAUGAAGUGAGAUCUAGGGCCAUCUAGUUAAAAUACUAUUUUUUAUCUAUGAUGACGGAGAACCCAAAUGCUCGGCAAAGUGUAACCAGGAAAAGAAAAAGAUUAUCGUGGUCGCUUCCGAAUCAAGGACUACACUCCAGUUUAUUUUCUGCUGUCGAGUCGGUCAAGGAGAAACCAAUGCAAGGUGUCCAACGGAAAUUUGAACCUCCCUAAAACUCGGCAACAAAAAUCCAAAACGCAAUACGCAUUCCAUUUAUAACAAAGAGAGUCAAUAUAUUUCUAUACAACAAUA